rnacentral:rRNA from 1 species
CCUACGGGAGGCAGCAGUGAGGAAUAUUGGUCAAUGGACGAGAGUCUGAACCAGCCACGUAGCGUGAAGGAUGACUGCCCUAUGGGUUGUAAACUUCUUUUAUAUGGGAAUAAAAUGUUCCACGUGUGGGAUUUUGUAUGUACUAUAUGAAUAAGGAUCGGCUAACUCCGUGCCAGCAGCCGCGGUAAUACGGAGGAUCCGAGCGUUAUCCGGAUUUAUUGGGUUUAAAGGGAGCGUAGGUGGAUUGUUAAGUCAGGUGUGAAAGUUUGCGGCUCAACCGUAAAAUUGCAGUUGAAACUGGCAGUCUGGAGUACAGUAGAGGUGGGCGGAAUUCGAGGUGUAGCGGUGAAAUGCUUAGAUAUCACGAAGAACACCGAUUGCGAAGGCAGCUCACUGGACUGCAACUGACACUGAGGCGCGAAAGUGUGGGUAUCAAACAGUAUUAGAUACCCUAGUAGUC